CUUUUAUAUAUAACGGGGCUAAUUUGGAUUACAGGGUCGUGUAGUAAAGCAUUUUUUUUUAGGAUCCAAAUGAUGUCACAACACUUAUAGCAGAUGAUAUGAUCCGGGAUAUGUGCCAAACUACCAAAGAUAACUUGAUUGACGGGAGGUGGCCAAAACCAAGGUUUGAGCUUAAUUCGAGCUAACAAGCCAUGGAAAUUAUUUGUUCAAGCUAUGGAGUCCAAAAUGUUGAACUUAACAAGCCAAAUAAUAGCUUAUAUGUUGGUCAUGAAGGCGAAAUCAUGUUUGUUGCAUUGGCUUCAAAGUUUUGAAAGAUAUAUGGAGAAAUGAGUAGCGUGGAUUAAAAUAGGCAUAACUUUCACCUCAAGUAUCGGAUUUUUACCCAUGAGUACAAUCUGAAAUAGUCAUGAGAUUCUGCACAUAGAAAAAGAGGAGCUGAAAUUUAGGCUAUGCGACACAUAGCUUGAAAGGUCAUGCGAUCGAAUGGUGGCUUACUGAGAACCAAGAGGCUAGAUUGAGUUCUUCCAUGCGACUGCAUGGUUAACAUUGAUGCGAUUUUCAAUUUUUGGAAACUUCCUAAUUACUUUAGAAUUUUUUUCCAAUUGAUAUUUUUGUAAUCUUUUAAGUUAUAUUUUGUCUUGAACACUUUUUUUGGGUAAGUAUAAAUAGGUUUCUUAUUUUUCAUUGCAAC
rnacentral:lncRNA from 1 species